UACGUAGGGUGCAAGCGUUGUCCGGAAUCAUUGGGCGUAAAGCGCGCGUAGGUGGCUUCGUAAGUCCGUUGUGAAAGUCAAAGGCUCAACCUUUGAAUGCCGAUGGAUACUGCGAAGCUAGAGUACGGAAGAGGCGAGUGGAAUUCCUGGUGUAGCGGUGGAAUGCGCAGAUAUCUGGAGGAACAUCAGUGGCGAAGGCGACACCCUGGACUCAUACUGACACUGAGGUGCGAAAGCGUGGGGAGCAAACAGG
rnacentral:rRNA from 1 species